rnacentral:lncRNA from 1 species
CCCCCCCACAUCCUGCCUCUGUUGCACAUUUUAAUCUGAAUAUAAAGCAAUAAUAAUAAUAGUAACCAACACUUUUAUAAGGCUUCAAAGGUGCCAAGGGCAAAUUCCAAUAGAGGGCAUCCUACAGUAUAUCUGCCUGUGCUCCUCAGAACCGUCGGGGACAUCCAAAAGCAGGAAAGUCUAAGAAACUGUCACAGCCAAGGGGCCUAAGAAGACAGGGCUACUAAAUGUAACACAGUAUCCUGGAUGGGAUCCUGGAACGGAAAAGGAUGUUAGGUAAAAACUAAGGAAAUCUGAUAAACUACAGACUUUAGUUAACAAUAAUGUAUCAGUUUUGGGUCAUUAAUUGUAAUAAAUGCACCAAACUAAUGUACGAUGUUAACAAGAGGAGAAACUGGGUGUGGCGUAGGGUGAGGGAGGUAUACAGGUGUAUGUUCUCCAUACUCUCUGCUCACUUUUUCUAGAAAUCUAAAACUGUUCUAAUAAACAAAGCCAAGUAAUAAAAGAAAUACGUCAAAGACUUACAUGUAUUAACUCCUAUUACGCAUAUUAAUCCUCAUGAAGACUGAGAUGGGUACCAUGAUGAGCCGUGUUUUACAGACACGAAAGAAUGCACAAAGUGUGGUUUCCACGAGACCUUGAGGCUUAGACGAUAUAUUUCUUUCAAAUCAAAAUUUAUUUGAUCAGUUAUUUAAAUAAUGUGUAUUGAUGGCUAUGCACUGGCCAGGGACUGAGUUUAGGUGAUUCUAUGAAAAGAGUCAAAACUGGGAAGGCAGAAAGGGCUUUGUAUUUGCCUACUGAAAUUUAAACAGCACAAGCAAACAUUUUAGAGAGUGUACAAUUCUAAAAUGUGUUAUAUUUAUUUAUAUGUUGACAGCACACAUACUCCUCCAGCAGGUAGAAACAACGGAGCUUGACAUCUAAUUAUCAAAAAUAAUUAUUUAAAUGUGAAGCCACCAGAUGGCACAUAUUGUUAAGAACAUAUCAAUCAAACAUCAUAAGUUAUAGAGCUGAUCUGAGAGUGGAUUUGUGUUUUAUCCUAGGCACCAAAAGAGCCAAGGUUCUAUCUCUGAGCACACUCCCUGGUCUACACUGAAAGAACACCUCCGAUGAGAAAGAUCUCUAUGUUCCCUAAAGAUGUCACUGUAAACUUCCUUAAGUCUUAUGUUGGUGAGCAGAAUCUUAGCAUUUUCAUUACUGACUACUCUGUUGACCAAAAAAAAGAUCUGGCCCACAGAGUUUGACCGUGAAACGUUAUCAGGGCUCGCUCCGAUAACGUCAUACACUCAGACAGAAAUAAGCUUUGUCGAAAACUUUUUGCAAAGUGUAUUAUCUGUGGGGUUCCACGCUCUGAACUGUAAUCAACAGGUAGUGUCCAAUCCAAAUAUCCACCUGAAACAACACCCAACAGAGGACUUUGCACCUGUGAUUUCAUUGCUUCUCCUGGUUCCUCUGAUGGCUGCAUCGCUCUGCUUAUCCUUCCAAGUUCAGCUGAGGAAUUAGCUCCUUCACAAAGUCCUUCUUACCCUGCUUGGUGUGGGCCAUUUCCGUACACUCCCAUGGCACCCUGUGCUGACCUUGGUCAUAGGAUCUAUCACAGUUCAGUACAAUUCAACAAGUAUUGAAUGAAUGCCGAUGAGGCACUGCCCUGGGCGCUUGGAAAUCACCAGUGAGCAAAUCAAAGAUGCCUGCCCUUUGAGGAAAAACAGAUAAACAGACAAUAAACUAUAACAAAUAAGUAAAUUUCAUCUUAAAUUAUACUGAUAAGUGCUAUGGAAAAAGAAACUGUGGAGUGGUUGGGGGAUGGGUGGCCCGGGGCACACGGGGAGGCCCAGGCUGCAGUAUUAAUUUGGGUGGCCAAGGUAGGCUUCAGUGAGAACAGGAUAUUUGAGCAAAGGCUUGAAGGAGGUGAGAGGGAUAACUCCGUAUCUCCUGAAGAAGGAGGCUUCCGGGCGGCGGCAAGAGCUAGCGCAAAGACCCUCAGGCAGAGGCUAGCCUGGCAAGGCUCAGACAGAGCUGGGAGGCCGGACAGUCUGGAGUAAAACGCCCAGCAGGGAGUAGGAGGGGAGAGAGGUGAAGCAGGGAGCAAGAAUUAUGUAGGGCCUGGGGCCAUUACAAACACUUUGGUUUUCACUCUGAGUGAAACAGGGUGCUCCUGCUGGGGUUUGAGUAGAGGAGAGACAUGAUCUGACCUAGUUCUGCAAGCUCAGGACACUGUUGAGAAUAGGAUUGUAGUGGGGCCAAGAGAGAAGCAGAAGAACCCGUUAGGAAGUGAUUCCAGGUGAGAUGAUGACGCCUCAGGCUGGUGGAGCAGUAGAGGGCAGGUGGGAGCCAGGUUCUGGAUUCAGAAUCGUGGUGGAUGGGCUGUGGGGUGUAACAGACAGAGGAAAGCCAAAGAUGACUCCGGGGGCUCUGUCCUGAGAAACUACCACAGCAGAAUUAUCACGAGCUAACGCAAGAAGUCCACGGAAGAAGCAGGUUAGGUGUGAGAGCAGGAAUUCUGGAAAGAAUAUGAAUUUCGUUCUUGUCUGAAAAUGUUCUGUUGACACCUUCUGGUAAGAUGGAACUAGCACAAGCAGAGUGGGUGUCCGUGGUUUGAAAGAAAAUCUGGGAUUCAGCAGAGGGGCACAUUUUAGAAGUGUGGCAUUUCUAAUUUCCAACACUUGGUAUCACAGACAAAAUUGUGAGAAAAAACACAAAAAUCAAUGUCUCUGAGUCAAAAAGUGAUUCUGAAGAAUCAGACUCUGAACAUUCUAGAAAUACCUUAAAUGAUUUGUUUACAUUUGCCUUUUUACAUAUGGCCUGAGAAUGAGAGACGAUUUAACAAAUCUGUCUAGGGUCCGGCCUGGUGGUGCAGUGGUUAAGUUCGCACGUUCCUCUUUGGCGGCCUGGGGUUCGCCAGCCGGGAUCCUGGGUGCAGACAUGGCACUGCUUGUCAAGCCAUGCUGUGGUAGGUGUCCCACAUAUAACGUAGAGGAAGGUGGGCAUGGAUGUUAGCUCAGGGCCAGUCUUCCUCAGCAAAAAGAGGAGGAUUGGCAGCAGAUGUUAGCUCAGGGCUAAUCUUCCUCAAAAAAAAAAAAAAAUCUGUCUAAAUAUGUCUAAAAUUUUUUCAAUAAAUAGAAAAUAAUUCUGGUGAUAAACCAUCAUAUAAUAAUUUAAUGGGCAAUUUUUUUCUUAAUGACACAAAAUGUUUCUUUUACUUGGAUGCAAUGAAAUAUGAUGAUAAAAAUAUCUAACACUUACUAAUCACUUAGAAUGAGCUGGAGACAGUGCUGAGUGAUAUAUAUGGAUCUUUCAUUUCAUCCUCUCAACAAUCCUAUGAGGCAGUUACCAUUUCCUCCCUUUUUAGAAAAAGCUCAAAACAGUGAGGAAAACUUGAUUGUCUUCUGUGUGUCCCAUACAAUCUUUGUACUUGGCUAUUUUUUAUUGGAAAAAAAUCAUCUUCUUAUUUAAUAAUUCCUAACCUUUAAGAAUUUUAAGAACAAAUCAUGGGCCUUCCAUGCCUGCUCCAUACAUUCCCCCGAGCAUAGCUGCUCCCUCUGCUCCACAUACACCUCUAAUGUGUUCACUCUUCUGUGUCCUGUGUUUUAGGUGUUGAGUUUGGUUCCCUCUGUUCAGGUCCAUAAAAAGGCAGAGAAGGAGGUGUGGCAUUAAAGGGAGGAGGUAAAACUUUGUCCCUGGCCUUGAGGCACUUAUAGUCUAAUGGUUUAGACAAAUCUACGAGUGAGCAAAGUGCUUCAUAACAUGUGACAGGUGCUCUGCCUGUGUGUGCAGCAAGCGCUGACAGUGAGGUGACAACUCAGGGCAAGCCCUAGCGGAAAGAAAGGAGGGUGUUUUCACUCCUUUGGCUUCGUGCUAUAUUCCAGGUAAUCCCAGCAAACAUCCCUGGGUUGCAGCAAGCCCCUGAGGGAGCAUUUGGAUUACAGCCCUUCCAUACCCUGCAUCACGUAGGCCACAAGAGCAUAAGGUACUUGUUUAAUCUUGGACUAACGCUGAUAGACCGGGUUAUAUAAAAGUCCUAAAAAUGAUUCAGUUCCAGAUUCUCAGAAAAAGUACAAGAAAUUCUUGACACACAAUUACAAAAGCAUUCUACCAGUUUGGCUCAAAACCACAGUUACAAAAACUAUUUAGCGCUGUGCCAUAGACCAGACAUUAGAGAGUAACAUUUACAGAGCGUUAGACAGUAACAUAUUAGACACUAACAUUUGCAGAUUCAUCAUACAAAUUUACACAGGUAAUUGCACUGGGGGGUAGGGAGUGGGGAAAAGAAGGGAUGUAGUCCAUCCUGGAGAAAGACCAGUCCAGUUAGGGAGACUCUGUGAACCUAAAAUAAGAAGCCACCCUGUCAAGAACCAGGGCUGUGAGCAUUCCAAAUUCUAACAAAUUUAAUUCCGUUCCACUGAGUUUAUAACCCUCUAUCACAGCUUGAGAAUGCAUGUACUAAGGGACCUCUUAUCCUAAGAGGAUCCCAGAACUGCGAAGGUAUCUGCUUCAACCAAUGGGUUGGGAUGAGACAGUUUUUCCCCGAUCUACAAAUGCAAGACCCAAUGAUAUAAAAUCUGCUCAUGCAGGGGAGGCAUGUGCACGUGCACCUUCCUCUGAGUUCUGUUGGCAAGAAGACUUUCCUGGAAGAAGCAACACUGUAGUGAAUGCAGCGCACAGAAACAUACUAAAUCACUGUCAUUUCUGACAGGUCCCUCGAGAAAAAGAACAAGUAUGUCAAAUACUAAACCAUAAGAAUUUAGCUGACAGGACGAGAUUCCUUGCUAAGAGGAGUACACAGAAAAGGGACACCAAUAAUCGUGAUAUUGACAUUUUUAAGGGUUUUUAUUCUCAUUUGCUGCCUGGGGACAUGCACAGAUGAAAAGGUUAGUUCUCUCCUCCCCCAUCAUCCUCACACACUCAAACAAGUAAUCUCUUUUUAAAUGCCUCGUAGAGGGGGGAAGGCAAGGAGAAGAUGAAAGUGUAGGUGGGAAGAGCUUUUGAAAAUAGAUAGUGUCCCUCCCCGACUCCAUCUCUGGAUGUUAUUGUGUGAAAAGGACAGAAAACUUGAGAGCUACUCAUUAAGUAUCCUCAUUAAGUAUCUGAACACAAGUCAGAUACCCUGAUACAGUUAGUUUUAGGCGAAACAGUAACUCCUACUUCCUGAGCUAAGCAUGUCUGACUGACUUUCACUCUGCAGAGAUGGGAUACUUCUCAGGGCUGGUUUGAACCACUGUCUCCUGUACCCGAGUCAAGAGUAACAAUUCCCGCUAGGGCGUGAGCCAGCUGCGUUGUUGUCCAGCGUCACCAAGACAACGUACAUGACCGAACCACGACUAACACAGAGACCAGAAAAGUUUCACCAAGAUGCCUGUGAACCUUAUCAUUAAGAUUGACAAAAUUAAUAACCACUUCAUCCUUUUUCCUCAUAUUGAAAGACAUAUCACUCUUCUGGAGAAGAAAGGUGCUCUAGAACUUCUGAAAUACAUUCUACAGUAAACUGUAUCUUACAUUAUAGCAGUAAAGCAUCAGUUUUCAAGCCCUGAAAGACAUUUAGUAUGGAAGCUUUUUGUUUUCUUUUAAUAAGCAUUGGGUAGCAUGGGCAUAAAGCCUGAAGGGAAAGGAGUAAGAACCUAACAAGACAGUUAAAAAGGCAAGAGAAUCCUUGUCUUUUUAUAUUAUUAUUACUAAUGCCUUAGAUAUUUGACUAUUACCACUAAUAUAAGAAUAGUGCAGUCAAAAAUGCAGAAUUUGGAAAGGACCGCAAAAAAGUAAGCUUGUUAUCCUUGGAAAGUCAAAGGUCUCCAUCUUCUCAGUUACCCGUGUUGCCUUCCCACGGCUUCUUGGAAAACACCACUGUUUUCCUCGGGUUCUUUCCAUGCUUUAUUGAGAAGGCAAGAGGGAGGAGAGGAAAAUGUCCUAAACACUGUAUCACAGAAGAGUGGGGAAUGCUUCCCUCAAUAUGCUUCUGUUCUUUCUACAUAAAACUCUUAUGAAUAUAUUGUGGAGGAAGAAGGAUGAUCAGAAAAUGUAGCAUUGGUCAUUUGGUGAUUGUUCUAGCACAAUAAUUCUCACAUACGUUCAUCCUAAAAUCUUACCUUAAUACCCUAAAACAGCAGUUUCCUGCCCCACCUCUUCCUAUCUUCUACUGCCUGCCCAGAGAGGCAGCCAUCUAACAAUCAAGGCUGUCUGAAAAGCUCUCAAUGCCAAUCCCUC